rnacentral:rRNA from 1 species
CCCCACUGCUAUCGAGGUGAGACUAAGCCAGGCCAGUCGAACGACUCGGACUAUGGCGAGAAGUGGCAAACUGCUCAGUAACACGUAGCUAACCUACCCUCGGGACGGAGACAACCCCGGGAAACUGGGGUUAAUCCCUGAUAGGCGUGGAUUCCUGGAAUGGUGUCACGCUGAAAAGUUAACACACCAUGUUUGUGUACACGCCCGAGGAUGGGGCUGCGGCCGAUCAGGCUGUUGGUGAGGUAACGGCUCACCAAACCUUUGACCGGUACGGGCCGUGAGAGCGGUAGCCCGGAGAUGGACACUGAGACAAGGGUCCAGGACCUACGGGUCGCAGCCGGUACGAAACCUCCACAAUGCACGCAAGUGCGAUGGGGUUACCUCGAGUGCCGCCUGAAGAAGGCGGCUUUUCCAUUGUGUAAUGAGCCGUGGGAAUAAGGGGGGGGCAAGACUGGUGUCAGCCGCCGCGGUAACACCAGCCCCCCGAGUGGUGGGGAUGUUUAUUUGGCCUAAAACGUCCGUAGCCGGCUCGGUAAAUCUCUCGUUAAAUCCAGCGUCCUAAGCGUUGGGCUGCGAGAGAGACUGCCGAACUAGAGGGUGGGAGAGGUCAGCGGUAUUUCUGGGGUAGGGGCGAAAUCCAUUGAUCCCAGGAGGACCACCAGUGGCGAAGGCUGCUGACUAGAACACGCCUGACGGUGAGGGACGAAAGCUGGGGUAGCGAAUCGGAUUAGAUACCCGAGUAGUCCCAGCCGUAAACGAUGCAGGCUAGGUGUUGGGUUGGCCAAGCGCCGACUCAGUGCCACAGGGAAGCCAUUAAGCCUGCUGCCUGGGGAGUACGGUCGCAAGGCUGAAACUUAAAGGAAUUGGCGGGAGAGCACCACCAGGCGUGAAGCCUGCGGUUU